rnacentral:rRNA from 1 species
CCUCAAAUCAGGUAGGACUACCCGCUGAACUUAAGCAUAUCAAUAAGCGGAGGAAAAGAAACUAACAAGGAUUCCCUUAGUAACGGCGAGUGAACCGGGAAGAGCUCAAAUUUGUAAUCUGGCUGUCUUCGAUAGUCCGAGUUGUAAUCUAUAGAAGCGUUUUCCGUGCUGAACUGUGUAUAAGUCCCUUGGAACAGGGUAUCAAAGAGGGUGACAAUCCCGUACUUUACACAAUCAUCAGUGCUCUGUGAUACGUUCUCUACGAGUCGAGUUGUUUGGGAAUGCAGCUCAAAAUGGGUGGUAAAUUCCAUCUAAAGCUAAAUAUUGGCGAAAGACCGAUAGCGAACAAGUACCGUGAGGGAAAGAUGAAAAGCACUUUGGAAAGAGAGUUAAACAGUACGUGAAAUUGUUAAAAGGGAAACGAUUGAAGUCAGUCGUGUUUAUUGGAUUCAGCCGGUCUUCGGUGUACUUCCUUUAAACGGGUCAACAUCAGUUUUGUUCGGUGGAUAAAGGUAUUAGGAAUGUGGCUUCUUCGGAAGUGUUAUAGCCUAGUAUUGCAUACACUGGAGGAGACUGAGGACUGCAGCUCGCCUUUAUGGCCGGGGUUCGCCCACGUUCGAGCUUAGGAUGUUGACAUAAU